rnacentral:rRNA from 1 species
GACAGAGGGUGCAAGCGUUGUUCGGAUUUACUGGGCUUAAAGAGUUCGUAGGCGGCGCAGAAAGUAGGGUGUGAAAGCCCUCGGCUCAACCGAGGAAUUGCGCUCUAAACUACUGUGCUCGAGGAACCUAGAGGUGAGCAGAACUGAUGGUGGAGCGGUGAAAUGCGUUGAUAUCAUCAGGAAUACCGGAGGCGAAGGCGGCUCACUGGGGGUUUUCUGACGCUGAGGAACGAAAGCCAGGGGAGCGAACGGG